UUAAGCGACUAAGCGUACACGGUGGAUGCCCUGGCAGUCAGAGGCGAUGAAGGACGUGCUAAUCUGCGAAAAGCGUCGGUAAGGUGAUAUGAACCGUUACAGCCGGCGAUGUCCGAAUGGGGAAACCCAGUGCAAUUCGUUGCACUAUCGUUAACUGAAUACAUAGGUUAACGAGGCGAACCGGGGGAACUGAAACAUCUAAGUACCCCGAGGAAAAGAAAUCAACCGAGAUUCCCCCAGUAGCGGCGAGCGAACGGGGAGCAGCCCGGAGUCUGAAUCAGCUUGUGUGUUAGUGGAAGCGUCUGGAAAGUCGCAGGGUACAGGGUGAUACUCCCGUACACUAAAACGCACAGGUUGUGAACUCGAAGAGUAGGGCGGGACACGUGGUAUCCUGUCUGAAUAUGGGGGGACCAUCCUCCAAGGCUAAAUACUCCUGACUGACCGAUAGUGAACCAGUACCGUGAGGGAAAGGCGAAAAGAACCCCGGCGAGGGGAGUGAAAAAGAACCUGAAACCGUGUACGUACAAGCAGUAGGAGCCCACUUGUUGGGUGACUGCGUACCUUUUGUAUAAUGGGUCAGCGACUUAUAUUCUGUAGCAAGGUUAACCGUAUAGGGGAGCCGCAGGGAAACCGAGUCUUAACUGGGCGUUAAGUUGCAGGGUAUAGACCCGAAACCCGGUGAUCUAGCCAUGGGCAGGUUGAAGGUUGGGUAACACUAACUGGAGGACCGAACCGACUAAUGUUGAAAAAUUAGCGGAUGACUUGUGGCUGGGGGUGAAAGGCCAAUCAAACCGGGAGAUAGCUGGUUCUCCCCGAAAGCUAUUUAGGUAGCGCCUCGUGAACUCAUCUUCGGGGGUAGAGCACUGUUUCGGCUAGGGGGUCAUCCCGACUUACCAACCCGAUGCAAACUACGAAUACCGAAGAAUGUUAUCACGGGAGACACACGGCGGGUGCUAACGUCCGUCGUGAAGAGGGAAACAACCCAGACCGCCAGCUAAGGUCCCAAAGUCAUGGUUAAGUGGGAAACGAUGUGGGAAGGCCCAGACAGCCAGGAUGUUGGCUUAGAAGCAGCCAUCAUUUAAAGAAAGCGUAAUAGCUCACUGGUCGAGUCGGCCUGCGCGGAAGAUGUAACGGGGCUAAACCAUGCACCGAAGCUGCGGCAGCGACACUAUGUGUUGUUGGGUAGGGGAGCGUUCUGUAAGCCGUUGAAGGUGGCCUGUGAGGGUUGCUGGAGGUAUCAGAAGUGCGAAUGCUGACAUAAGUAACGAUAAUGCGGGUGAAAAACCCGCACGCCGGAAGACCAAGGGUUCCUGUCCAACGUUAAUCGGGGCAGGGUGAGUCGACCCCUAAGGCGAGGCCGAAAGGCGUAGUCGAUGGGAAACAGGUUAAUAUUCCUGUACUCGGUGUUACUGCGAAGGGGGGACGGAGAAGGCUAUGUUGGCCGGGCGACGGUUGUCCCGGUUUAAGCAUGUAGGCGGAUGUUCCAGGUAAAUCCGGAACGUCACUAACGCUGAGGUGUGAUGACGAGGCACUACGGUGCUGAAGUGACAAAUGCCCUGCUUCCAGGAAAAGCCUCUAAGCAUCAGGUAACAUCAAAUCGUACCCCAAACCGACACAGGUGGUCAGGUAGAGAAUACCAAGGCGCUUGAGAGAACUCGGGUGAAGGAACUAGGCAAAAUGGUGCCGUAACUUCGGGAGAAGGCACGCUGAUGGUAGGUGAAGCGACUUGCUCGUGGAGCUGAAAUCAGUCGAAGAUACCAGCUGGCUGCAACUGUUUAUUAAAAACACAGCACUGUGCAAACACGAAAGUGGACGUAUACGGUGUGACGCCUGCCCGGUGCCGGAAGGUUAAUUGAUGGGGUUAUCCGUAAGGAGAAGCUCUUGAUCGAAGCCCCGGUAAACGGCGGCCGUAACUAUAACGGUCCUAAGGUAGCGAAAUUCCUUGUCGGGUAAGUUCCGACCUGCACGAAUGGCGUAAUGAUGGCCAGGCUGUCUCCACCCGAGACUCAGUGAAAUUGAACUCGCUGUGAAGAUGCAGUGUACCCGCGGCAAGACGGAAAGACCCCGUGAACCUUUACUAUAGCUUGACACUGAACACUGGUCCUUGAUGUGUAGGAUAGGUGGGAGGCUUUGAAGUGUGGACGCCAGUCUGCAUGGAGCCAUCCUUGAAAUACCACCCUUUAAUGGCUGGUGUUCUAACGUGGGCCCCUGAUCGGGGUUGCGGACAGUGUCUGGUGGGUAGUUUGACUGGGGCGGUCUCCUCCUAAAGAGUAACGGAGGAGCACGAAGGUCAGCUAAUCCUGGUCGGACAUCAGGAGGUUAGUGCAAUGGCAUAAGCUGGCUUGACUGCGAGCGUGACGGCGCGAGCAGGUGCGAAAGCAGGUCAUAGUGAUCCGGUGGUUCUGAAUGGAAGGGCCAUCGCUCAACGGAUAAAAGGUACUCCGGGGAUAACAGGCUGAUACCGCCCAAGAGUUCAUAUCGACGGCGGUGUUUGGCACCUCGAUGUCGGCUCAUCACAUCCUGGGGCUGAAGUAGGUCCCAAGGGUAUGGCUGUUCGCCAUUUAAAGUGGUACGCGAGCUGGGUUUAGAACGUCGUGAGACAGUUCGGUCCCUAUCUGCCGUGGGCGCUGGAGAAUUGAGGGGGGCUGCUCCUAGUACGAGAGGACCGGAGUGGACGCAUCACUGGUGUUCGGGUUGUCAUGCCAAUGGCAUUGCCCGGUAGCUAAAUGCGGAAGAGAUAAGUGCUGAAAGCAUCUAAGCACGAAACUUGCCCCGAGAUGAGUUCUCCCUGACUCCUUGAGAGUCCUGAAGGAACGUUGAAGACGACGACGUUGAUAGGCCGGGUGUGUAAGCGCAGCGAUGCGUUGAGCUAACCGGUACUAAUGAACCGUGAGGCUUAACCUU
rnacentral:rRNA from 2 species